rnacentral:rRNA from 1 species
ACGAGUUUAGUAGAGCUAAAUGAGUAAGCGAGAGCCGAAGGAGAGGAAAGAAGCAAGCGAUUGUCACAAGUCAAGAAAGGUUCUUAGCGACGAUGGUAGCCAACUUACGUUCCGCUAGAGUAGAACGUUGCCAGGCAGUUUUAAAUCGGAGAAUUAGCUCAGCUGGGAGAGCAUCUGCCUUACUAAUCCUGUAGUCGAAAAUGUUGUCUCUCUUGAGUGGAUCCUGAGUACGACGGAGCACGUGAAAUUCCGUCGGAAUCUGGGAGGACCAUCUCCUAAGGCUAAAUACUCUCUAGUGACCGAUAGUGAACCAGUACCGUGAGGGAAAGGUGAAAAGCACCCCGGAAGGGGAGUGAAAUAGAACCUGAAACCGUGUGCUUACAAGUAGUCAGAGCCCGUUAAUGGGUGAUGGCGUGCCUUUUGUAGAAUGAACCGGCGAGUUACGAUUUGAUGCAAGGUUAAGCAGUAAAUGUGGAGCCGUAGCGAAAGCGAGUCUGAAUAGGGCGUUUAGUAUUUGGUCGUAGACCCGAAACCAGGUGAUCUACCCUUGGUCAGGUUGAAGUUCAGGUAACACUGAAUGGAGGACCGAACCGACUUACGUUGAAAAGUGAGCGGAUGAACUGAGGGUAGCGGAGAAAUUCCAAUCGAACCUGGAGAUAGCUGGUUCUCUCCGAAAUAGCUUUAGGGCUAGCCUCAAGUGAUGAUUAUUGGAGGUAGAGCACUGUUUGGACGAGGGGCCCCUCUCGGGUUACCGAAUUCAGACAAACUCCGAAUGCCAAUUAAUUUAACUUGGGAGUCAGAACAUGGGUGAUAAGGUCCGUGUUCGAAAGGGAAACAGCCCAGACCACCAGCUAAGGUCCCAAAAUAUAUGUUAAGUGGAAAAGGAUGUGGCGUUGCCCAGACAACUAGGAUGUUGGCUUAGAAGCAGCCAUCAUUUAAAGAGUGCGUAAUAGCUCACUAGUCGAGUGACACUGCGCCGAAAAUGUACCGGGGCUAAACAUAUUACCGAAGCUGUGGAUUGUCCUUUGGACAAUGGUAGGAGAGCGUUCUAAGGGCGUUGAAGCAUGAUCGUAAGGACAUGUGGAGCGCUUAGAAGUGAGAAUGCCGGUGUGAGUAGCGAAAGACGGGUGAGAAUCCCGUCCACCGAUUGACUAAGGUUUCCAGAGGAAGGCUCGUCCGCUCUGGGUUAGUCGGGUCCUAAGCUGAGGCCGACAGGCGUAGGCGAUGGAUAACAGGUUGAUAUUCCUGUACCACCUAUAAUCGUUUUAAUCGAUGGGGGGACGCAGUAGGAUAGGCGAAGCGUGCGAUUGGAUUGCACGUCUAAGCAGUAAGGCUGAGUAUUAGGCAAAUCCGGUACUCGUUAAGGCUGAGCUGUGAUGGGGAGAAGACAUUGAGUCUUCGAGUCGUUGAUUUCACACUGCCGAGAAAAGCCUCUAGAUAGAAAAUAGGUGCCCGUACCGCAAACCGACACAGGUAGUCAAGAUGAGAAUUCUAAGGUGAGCGAGCGAACUCUCGUUAAGGAACUCGGCAAAAUGACCCCGUAACUUCGGGAGAAGGGGUGCUCUUUAGGGUUAACGCCCAGAAGAGCCGCAGUGAAUAGGCCCAAGCGACUGUUUAUCAAAAACACAGGUCUCUGCUAAACCGUAAGGUGAUGUAUAGGGGCUGACGCCUGCCCGGUGCUGGAAGGUUAAGAGGAGUGGUUAGCUUCUGCGAAGCUACGAAUCGAAGCCCCAGUAAACGGCGGCCGUAACUAUAACGGUCCUAAGGUAGCGAAAUUCCUUGUCGGGUAAGUUCCGACCCGCACGAAAGGCGUAACGAUUUGGGCACUGUCUCAACGAGAGACUCGGUGAAAUCAUAGUACCUGUGAAGAUGCAGGUUACCCGCGACAGGACGGAAAGACCCCGUGGAGCUUUACUGUAGCCUGAUAUUGAAAUUCGGCACAGCUUGUACAGGAUAGGUAGGAGCCUUUGAAACGUGAGCGCUAGCUUACGUGGAGGCGCUGGUGGGAUACUACCCUAGCUGUGUUGGCUUUCUAACCCGCACCACUUAUCGUGGUGGGAGACAGUGUCAAGCGGGCAGUUUGACUGGGGCGGUCGCCUCCUAAAAGGUAACGGAGGCGCUCAAAGGUUCCCUCAGAAUGGUUGGAAAUCAUUCAUAGAGUGUAAA